AAUGUUUCCGUUAAUUUACACCCAAAUUUCAACAUGAUUUACCUGUUAUUUGUAAUAACUGCAGCUUACUGUAAAUUUUUAGGGAAUACAUGUUAAAUAACGCCUCAUGUAUGUUAUUUAACACCUCAUUGCUAAAUAACAUUCAUUUUUGUUAUUUAACAGCACAACCGAACAUUCAAAGAUGGCGGCCAGAGUUAGAUGGUCUGGUAUGGUUUUGUAAGUUGCAAAACAAUGACUAAUUCAAUAUUGUCGAUGUUGCAUACUAAGAAAUUAAAUAUUGUAUGCAUUCACUGAAUGAAGGUUAGACAGAACACCACGUGAUUUCUGUACUGCAAAUGUUAUAAAGAAUCAUCUUGCUUUUAUUACCAUAAUCAUACCUCCCGAUUUUAAACGAGACACCUAACAUUUAAUUGACUAACUGCGCUCCAAAUCUGUGUGUGUAGAUGUGUGUGUGUGUGUGUCUUUCUGAUCACGUUCGCGCCACUUUCUGAAAUAACAGGUUCAUACAGUAUUUUUUGCAUUCUGGCAAAGAGCGAGUAAGAAGGCAUUUGAACCUGCAACGCAACGGACACACGGCCAUUCCAUGUCGGAGAAUCGCUCUGGUUACAUCGAGGAAAACCACAACAAUCCGAUGCAGAUGCAGGGCACUAUCCCUGAUCACACUGCUGAUCAAGAAGAUCUCACUGCAUGUAUCCCUCAGAACCAGAUGUCUCAGGACUUGAUAUGCCAGUGCAGCUGACCUUGAGAGUUCACUAGCUUUACCUGCAACGCCUCGUCUGAUACUUCUUGGAGAAACAGGAAACCACUUCCAACGCUGGAUGCUCAGCAUUGAGGGCCAGAUUGUGGGCGAAGGGAUCCAGUCGACCUUUGUGACAGGGCUGGCGUCUUUUUUCUCCGGUUUUUAUAUCUUCAACCUACAGUACCAAGAGGAGGCAGCGUGCACACUUGAAUUCAUCCAGAGGUAAGACAUUGUCUGUUAACACCUGCAUUUGUUCUGGCCUAGCUGUGGCUCAAGCAUGGUUUCAGCAGGUCUGGUGAUGGGAUUUAGCAAUUAACUUUGCUUUAGAAAGUUUUAGUGCAACUUACAAUAUUCAUAGAUGCAUAGGAUAGUAUGUUGAGGAUAGUUCAUGGACAUUUGUUGUCUUGUUGUAGUGUUAGUCUGUGUGAAUUACUAGAUUUCCAACCCGUGUAUAAUUUUUCAGACGCUUUGUGGGUAUAAACCCAGAAAAGGGGACAAAGGCUGCAAAGGGGAAAAAAAGAACGGUAAAUUCACACAUCGCCAGCCUCUUGCGCAGACUGAUGGACUUCCAGUGGGAUUUCAUUUCAAAAAGGUGAGAUAGAUACAUACAUUCAUGCUCUUUGCCAUUUGCCAAUAAAUUUUACUUUUCAGACUUUCUAUUAUUUAUGUCUCUCUCUCUCUCUCUCUCUCUUUCAGUGGAGGUGUGUUCAGGUGCGUUCUGGGCAAUGUAGUGUAUUUUUCUGUGAUUGAUCCGAUCUAUAUGUGCCUACAUUUGUAAGUAUUUAACUUUCAGUGUUUCUAUUACAAUAAAAAAGUUCAUUUGAACAUGGAACUAUUCGUUUUCUUUCACUUAAGUGUUAUGUGAUGUAUUAUACCUAUUCUUAUAAUAACUCAAGCUAGAAAUAUGUAUAUUACAAUCAAUGGUACACAUUACUAUGCUAAAAUAAUAAUCAAUACAUUUUAAAAGCAAUAUUUAAAGGAAACUAAAUAAAUGGUGAUUUAACAUGAAAAUAAUGGUAACCCUGCUGCCAGUAAAGUCCUGUUAAAAAACAUUACGGGUGUGCACUGUAAAAAAACAUUAACAGGAAUAAACCGUUAAAAUAACAUGAAAAUAAUGGUAACCCUGCUGCCAGUAAAUUCCUGUUAAAAAACAUUACGGGUGUGCACUGUAAAAAAACAUUAACAGGAAUAAACUGUUAAAAUAACAUGAAAAUAAUGGUAACCCUGCUGCCAGUAAAUUCCUGUUA